UUUUUCAAUAUUAUGAUCUGGAUUUUUCAACUGAGUCUUUUUAAAUUUCUCGUCUUUCUCGAACAGUGCAUUGUCAAGACUCUCGUAAAUCAUUUCCCAUGACAAUAAACCCCAUGGACGCUUUCGGAAGUACUGGAUAUCAUCAACUUGGUCAAGCCAAUCGAAAUUAAUUUGACAGUGAUUUUUUCUUGCAUUUAGUACUCUGUCGGCAAAAUAAAAUAGCGCAAUCUUUAAUGCGUCCAUAUCGUCCAUUUCCUCGAAUUUCAACUCCUUAAAUACUGCAUCGAAUUGCUUCACAUUAAUCUUACGAUGCAUCCACCAAAAUACAUAUUCCGUAGCCUCUGCUCCAUUUCAUCAUUUUCUUGAUUGGUAUCAACACCAAAUGAAAGUCCAGUAACCAAGCACCAUUCGACAAUUGACAAGCGAAUCAAAAGCUUACCAAUUUGAAACCAUAAUUGAUUCUCACGGCUAUCUUCUUCAUGGGCCACUUGCCGCAGUAAAGAUUGUGCAAAAUUACCCCACUAAAUGGAAAACUUCGACACUCCAAAAAAUGCCCAAAUAUAUCCUUUUUGAACAUAGUCAACUGCUGCUUUGUUAAUUUUUCCUCGAUGGCUUUUACGACCGAAGAUAACAUACACAUGCUCGAAAUUCGACCAGGAAAGUGAUCAGUAUAACGAAAAUACAUCUUGCCUACUUCAAUAUCUGGUGAUUCUGAUUUCGCCAUGUAUCUGUAAUAUUUAUAAAAUUAUUACAUUACAUUUACAGAAAAAAAAA
rnacentral:lncRNA from 1 species